GGGCCGGCUGAGGCCAUUCGGGCCCCGCCCACCGGCGAGCGGCGGUGCGGAGGGCGAGCGGGCUGGGGGCCGGAGCCGGCAGCGGGUCGGAGCGGGCAGGGGGCCGGAGCGGGCAGGGGGCCGGAGCGGGCUGGGCGCGGCGCCGCCCUCCUACGAGGCCGCUGCGUCGGGUCGGCGCCAGCCUGCUGUCAGCGCGCGGCGUGUCAGGGAUGGAGCCGCAUCCCCGCACCGUCUGCUGAUCUCGGGCUGGGCGGGGCCCUCCCUGGGGGGGUUCCAACACUAAUAAUAUUCCCUGCCAUGGCUUUCAGAGCUCUUCCAAGUCCAUUUUCUCAGAUCGACUUUUCAUGCCUCCGUGCUGAGCCCGCUGCCGGGCGCCUUGGCUCCCAGCAAACUCCUACCCUUCAGGGUCCACUUGAAAUUGUUAGCAACUUCACCUCGCUGCCCUGGGGCUCCGACCCACACUCCGAGGAGCUCCGAGGAGGGGCCCCCGAGGGCCCCGUACACACAAUCCGUCCCUUCCGCCAAGGGCUCUUUCCCGUUCGGUAUCGAGGAUUUGGAAGGAAACCGAAGCUGGGUGUUCACCGGCGCGAGCUUUAUUCAAUUGCCAAGAAGGGAGAAGCGGGAGCCAAGUCCACGAAUGCGCUCCUCAGUUCUGAUUAAGCAGCUGCUAUGGGUUCAGGCCCCUUCCUCGCCCCUGGCCCAACAAACUUGGAUGCCUUCUUCGGGCCCCACAGAAACGUCCGCACACACCAUUUGAGGGCAAGAGCCGUGUUUGACGGAAUCUGCAAGCCCCCUCCCCCGGUGCCUCCCACGCGCCCAGCUCAGAGGGAAGCCAGGAAGAUGAGAAAACCAAGACCAAGAGACAUUGGCUAAUUUCUCCAAGACGCUGAGCCAGACGGCGGAGUAGCUCGCCCACGUGUCUUCCUCUGGAAUGUGUGUUCUUUCCUCUCUUCCAGGCUGCCCUACUUUGCUCUUUAAAGAGUAAUUUUGUGACCCAAAUAAAUCUAAUUGGUGACAUUUCCAGCUGGAAGACGAGGUGACCUUUCCUAUCCCUGCUGACCCUGCUGUUCCCUAGGAUGUUAUUUUUGGGAGGAAGGAAGGACUCUGCCUGGCUUGACGGGACAAGGGGCCCUCUGGGAUCUCUCUGAUUGAUACUGCAGUUUUGAAUAACUGCUGGUCUUACCUCUGAAUGAUGGCAACGCCUCUUCUGGGACCAUGGCUGGAGAGCGAGAGGGAAGCGCUUGUUCCCCAGAACAGUGACUCACACAUAGCUAGGCAUUUAAUUGUGGAAUGAAUGAAUGAAUGAAUGAACACUUUCCAGAAACAUGGAAGGCCUGGGAGAGAUGGACAAUUUCCUCUGAGUCAGGCAGGUCACGUCCAGUCUUAUUUGAAAGGGGCAUGUAGGGGGGUGGGAAGCACUUGGCAAGCGACUUAAGCCUUGCAUGCCUUGGUUUCCUCAUCCGUGAACCGAAGAAGGAGAGGAAAGAACUACCUCAUUGGGCUGUUGAGGGUCAAAUGGGAGGGGGCAUGUAAGGGGCUACUGGCGUUGUCAGGGAGCCUGCCACACGGCGAGCACACAGUAAGCCGUGACUUGUAUUAUUAUGAGAUGUCGUUCUCUCUCGUGCAUGGGUGGGUACGUGGGAAUGUUAGCUCACAAACAGACUUUGGAAGCCCAGGACACCAGUUCCAGGGCAGGAGCUCAGGGGAGUCUCAGGCUGUGGCCCCCUAGCCCUGGAAAACUCAGUGGUCAAGGGUCUGGGCCCCAGAGGGCUAAGGCAGGAUGCUGGGGCAAAAAGGAACAAAACAUUUUUGCUGAAUGGCCCAUGAGAACCAGCACUGUUGUUCCCAAUGUAUUAGCCAAGUUAGUUACUUGCUCACCAUUUAGUGAGCAUCUAGUAUGUGCCAGGACUAGAGGCGGGAAUGCAGAAAUAAGACACGUCCUAGAAAGGCCAGGGUCGAGGGAGGAGACAGACAAGGACACAGACAGGUACAAGGAGAGAAGCCUUCACAGGUGCUGUGGGGACCAGAAGAGCCUGUGACCCAGUGCAGAAGCAGGGGGUGGGCACCACCCAGCCGGAGCACGGGUGGGGAGGCGAGGGGGUGAGACACGAGGCUGGACAGGUGAGCAUCCUGCGGAUGCCCAGGGAGGAAGUGAUGGCCUGCAAUGUGUACUUUGGGCUGCUGCACCAGCACCAGUAGUCUGGAGUCAGUCGUGGGUUUGAAUUUCAGCUCUGCCUCCUGAUGGCUGGGCAACCUUCAACAAGGUUCUCAGCCUCUCUGGGCCAUAGUUUCUAUACUCACAAAUGGGGAUUAAUUAAAGUACCUAAGCAAUCAGACCCUGAAACUGACUCAUGGGAACUAAGAGGGAGGGAGAGAGAAGCAGGUCAAGUGGAUUUCCGCCAGGAGAAUUAGAAAUAUGGCCGAGGCCUUAGGGAGUUCAGCAGGUGAUGGAACAGGAGCAGGAGUGGUCCAGGCAGAGGAGGGGGCCGUGGCCCACUGGAGAGCUCAAAGGACCAGAGCCAGAGAAUUCAGGAAAGAGAGACCCCAGACAAGACUGGAGAGGAAGGCAGGCCCAGCGGGCCGCAGCGGGAAAUUUGGCCCUGAGCCAGCAGCAGUGGGCAGUCCGUGCCCUGAUCAGACUAGCACCUUGGAAAGAGCAGCCUGUCCACUUUCCGGGGACUAGACUGGUGGGCUGAGACCCACAGGAGAUCAGUCCCCAGGCCACCACAGUAUCCAAGAGGGUCAUCAGGGGACAGGAGGAGUGAGCGCUGACUGAGCUCUUCCCGCGUGCCAGCACCUGGACGCAUCAUCUCCAGUACUCCUCACGGCCUGGAGAGGACAAGGACCGUCACCGUGCCAGUUACACCCAAGGAGCUGGGGUCUGGAAGAGCCACAAGCAGCAGGACCGGGAUCUGAACUCAGGUCUGGAGCUCUGAACCAUCCAUGGGAGAGAUGAAGUCACUCGAACGAGGGUGGAGGAAGAGGACAGGAGGGGGCCCUGGGGACACUGACAUCUAAGGCCUAGGAAGCAAAGGACACUGGAGAGGACUGGUCAGAAGACAGGGGUGUCUCGGAGGCUUGGGGAGAGGAGAGCAUGGUCACAAAGGCCAAUGCCUUCCUUCCCCAGUUAGGAGCUGGUCUCUGGCUGACUGGUUCAGGGAGGUGGGACAGUGGCCAGGGGCUGAAGAGUAAACAGGAGAUGGAAAGGGACCCAGUGGUUUUGCUGGGAAGGGAAAGGGCAGGAGAGGACAGUUGGGAGGGAGACGGGAUUGGGCUGGGUUAGGGGUUGGCUCGCACUUGUUCUCCCUCGAAGGUGGAGGGAAGGACCCAGUAGAGGGAGAGAAGUGAAAAGGCCAGAGGAAGGGAGCCCUCAAUGGAGAGAUGUCACUACUGAGAGGAGGGGAAGGAGGAAGCAGGCAGGUGCCCCUUUACCUGCGGGGCGGGGCAGGGCGGCGGCACAGAAGGCAGAGAGGGCACGGACCUUGAGGCGGGGGUCUUACUAGUCUUAUCCCCUCUACUUUACCCAGCAGGGUGCCUUAUGAAAUUGGAGCCCUCCAUAAAUGCUUGUCACCCCAGUUGAAGGGAAAUUGCUCCGGGAUGACGAGGCAGAAUGCUCUGUCCAGCCCAGCCCAGCCCCUCCUGCCCCACCUCCCCACUGGAGUGAAGGUGUAACACUCCUAGUACCCGGGCUGGUGGAGGGUCAGCGAAGCUCCGGGGUGUGAGCGGCCAGGAGCCAGGAAAUCGCUCCCAGAGAGAGCCGCCCCGCCUAAUGGGGUUUGCUGCCAUCAGAUGUGUGGAUCCUGUGCUCCCCAGAGUGAAACCUGAUAUCCCUGGGCAGGAGUGAGGGUCCCAUCACCUGUGAAAUGUUUGCCGCCCACAUCGUGCCAGGUGGUGUGGAAAGGGCGAAGGGCGCGCGAGCUCAUUCACUGAACACCCUCCCUUUGCCAGGCAGCUGGAGUUGGGGGGCUGGGGGCUGGCAGAUGCAGGGCCUCGACCCCAAAUCCCAGCUCCUCCACUUCCCAGCUGACUUAGGAGAAGGGUGGGAAGACUGAGUAGGUGCCCGGGCCAGGGCAGUGGCUCAGUGAACAUUCGCUGGUCUCCAUUCACGUCCUUUGUCGCUGUUGAUCCCCACUACAGUCCUGUGCAGGCUGGUAUCAGUGUGCCCAUUUUACAGACGAGGCAGCACCACACAGGCUGAUUAUAGCUUCCACCUCCUCGAGGGCAAACUGGAGGCCCACAGGUUAGACUGGACCAGGAAGUGUUCUCCUUGCUCCACAAAGAGCUUUGUAAGACCCAGACAAUUCUAAAGGACAGCUUCCCAGGCUUGCUUCAAUAUUUAGAAGAUCUGGCAGCACUCGGCUCCCCACGGACAGAGGAGCAGCCACCACCUUUGGACAGAGUCCAAGCUCCCCAGCUCACCCCAAUCCCCACCACUCCCUAUUGUCUCAUCCAUGAGUGUCCACUCACUUACAUUAUCUGUUGGGCUCCUGUCAUCUGCUGAGUCUGCCAAGGCCUGGUGAGUGUUUCUCAUCCUACAUGGGGAGGAAAUGGAGCCAGAGAGAAAGUUGACAUAUGUUCCCAGCUCCAGUCACAAAGCACUGAACCUUGACAUAUAGAAAGAGAAGCCAAAAUAUGGAAAGAGAGCGAGCAUAGCUGCGCUCGAGUCCACGGUAAAUGCCUCCACAGCCCAGGAAGCAACUGAAGCAGGAGCCCUUGGUGCCCUGGGGCUGGACGCCUGGGGGGUCCUGGGCCCUGGAGGACCCCACACCCACUGGCUGGCAGUCCCAGAAGAGAGCAGAGGGUGGCGGAGCAGCUGGAGAUGAAGAGCCGAGAGCUGAGAAUAUUCCAGUCAAUGAGGAAGCCUUCCAGGAGGAGGUGGGUGUGGUGGGCUUAGGGUGGCCGGGCUUAGGGUGGGGGCGAAAGGAACGGCAGCUGUCCCACUGUCGGAGACCUUAGAGUGUAUCCAGCUUCCAGCUCAACCCCCAAGGCAGACCCCAACCCACACACACACACUCACUCAACUGUACAGCCACCCAGAGAGAGAAAAGACUGGCUAGAUUGUACCUUCCAAAAUUUUAAGGGCUGGCUCAGUGGCGCAGGGGUUAAGUUUGCACGUUCCACUUUGACUGCCCAGGGUUCGCCGGUUCAGAUCCCAGGUGUGGA